rnacentral:tRNA from 1 species
CAAAAAGAAGCAAGCUUAUCUAUAAUACCCAAAACUAUAAUUUUUAAUAAAAUACUUUUUGA